rnacentral:lncRNA from 1 species
AUUUCAAGCUCUUCUGUGUCUAGAGGAAGAGCUACCCCGUGACCGGCUUAGAGAACUGGAAGAGGCCGCAACCUUUCUCCUGCUUGAAGCUGGAGGAUGGAUGGAGUCUGGAGCCCUGGAGCGUGGGACACUGUUUCGCUGUGGUUGGUGGUGGCGACAGAGCAGUAGGAGAGCGCCCGGCAGCGGGAGCUUCUCCUGCUGGGCUGGAGGACUAGGAGAAGGAAGAGGCACUGCCACAUGCUGGAGGCUGGAACCUGUGCCACCGUGGCUGGCCUGGCUCUGGUUGGUUCGCCUCGCUGUGGUUGGUGGUGACGUCGGAGACUGCAGCUCGGUCACAGUGGUAGAAAUGUGAUGGGGUAGGUGAGUUUCCCGGGGCUGCCCUGCACGCCUCUGGGGGCAAGGGUUGGGUGUCCUACUGGGGCUCACUGCUAGAGGCUACCCUGCCUGUGGCAGUGGUCUGGUUGGGGGCACUCUCCGGGGUGGCAUUGCUGGUGGUGGGGCAGGUUGGCUGGCUAUCUGGGGCUAUACUGCCUGCGGUGGCAGGGGUGGUCGGGGAAAGCAGAUUGUGUACACUAGCGUAUACUGCCGGUGGCUGGGGAAGGAUUAGGGGCGCU